rnacentral:misc_RNA from 1 species
GAUGAAGAACGCAGCGAAAUGCGAUACUUGGUGUGAAUUGCAGAAUCCCGUGAACCAUCGAGUCUUUGAACGCAAGUUGCGCCCGAAGCCAUCAGGUUGAGGGCACGUCUGCCUGGGCGUCACAUAUCGUUGCCCAAUGCCUAUUGCAGUGCAAUAGGAAUUUCUAGGGCGAAUGAUGGCUUCCCGUGAGCGUUGUUGCCUCGCGGUUGGUUGAAAAUCGAGUCCUUGGUAGGGUGUGCCAUGGUAGAUGGUGGUCGAGUUAGAACGAUACCGAUCAUGUGCAUGCUCCCCAAAAUAUGGCCUCUAUGACCCACACGCGUCUUUUGACGCUCAUGACGAGACCUCAGGUCAGGCGGGGCUACCCGCUGAAUUUAAGCAUAUCAAUAAGCGGGGA